CCCUCUAUCCCGCCUCAUUGACCCCUGGACAACCCUGAAAUAUCAUCGUCAGCAUUAUUUCAUCGGAAAGAAGGGCAGCAAGAGAGGCCGGAUGAUUCUCCCAAGGCCACACAGCUAAUUAGUGGGCAGAGCCCAGUCUAGAAGCCAUCUCACCAUCUGACACCUUUCGACAAAGUGCAAAACGCGGUGGUGAGAGACGAGGACACAGACAUUAAGAUUCCGCUCCAGCCCUAGAGGCACUGAGAAUCAGAACGUGAACUACUCUUCACUCCAGGCAGAAAGCAAGAGGCUUGGAUGAGUUUUAGGAAACCAGCACAGUGUCGGGCACAGAGCGCUCAAUGAAUAGAUGUGUAACAACAAAGUAGGGAUCCAACAGAGGAAGAAAUAAUUUAUUGUAAGGUGGCCUUUGGGAAAGCUCUCAGAAAGGUGGAUGAAUCACUUAAGAGGAAUCAUGGGGCAGAUCCAGCGGUGCCAUUUGUGGGAGGCCAGGAAAGACCUUGCUCCUUGGGAAUCAGGCUCCACAGGCCUCUCAGGUCAACCAAGAAAAUGAAUGGACUCCAGCAGCAUCACAGAAUCAAAGCAACACCUAAGGAAUUCACUGUUUCUUCACAUACUUUGAACUGUGAAAACAAGAGUCAUCAUAAUAGCUGCAGUUUACUCAGUACCUACCAGGUACUGUCACCUAUACUGUCUCUAAAGCCCCUACAACCCUGAGCUAAGGAUGAUCAUAUCCCCAACUGCAGAUGAUGACACUGAAGCUCAACGGCUACUCAACUUGCCUGGAAUCCUACAGCAAUUAACAAAAACCAGCAUCACGCUCAAGGUUUUGUGAACUUAUCAGUUCCCUUAUUUCAACUCCUGGUCCUGUUGGAAAAAGUGACAGUUGGGAGGCAGAACUGCGCAUGGUAGCCCAGAGCUCUUACCAUCUGAGCCACGUGCCCAUUCAUUUCUCAUUUCAGAAUACUGCAUUGUGUCACAAGAAUUCAACUAUGUACUCAUGGAGAAGGAGGGAGAAAGCAAGGAAGGAAAAAAGAGAAAAGUAAUUUACAUAGUAACAGCAAUUCUGCUCAACAUUCCAUUCAGUGAGCCGAUACCCUGGAGUGCAGAAACUGUUAUGAAUGUACUCCACCAAGGCAAGAAAGGAAGAAGACAUGGAAUUUAAAAAACAGAGGAUCUACUAUGAAAGAGAAAGGUGAAGGGAAUUCCAGGCUGAUGGUAAAUGCAAAUUCCAGGAUGAGAGUUGGGCAGCAGGCCUAGAGUGCACUCCGUCCUGGGAGGAGCCAGAUGAUAGAGGGCUCUAGGAGAGAAGGCUCCAAGGGAAAAUGAAACAAGAGGAGGAGAAGAAACAGGCUUACGCUGAGCGAAUCCAAUGUGCAGACAGACACACAGGGAAGGUGACCAUUUGAAGACGGAGGCAGAAACUGAAGUUGUGCAACUGCAAACCAAGAAAUGCCAUGGAUUGCCAACAACCACCAGGAACUAGAAGAGGCAAGGUAAGGUUCAGCAAAGUCUAUGUCAUUCUCUAAUCCUUUUGAUCCAGCGGAUUCUUUGGAGGAAUUUGAAUACAUAUUGGAUUUUGCAUCCAGGUUUGCAAGAGGAAAAUACAAAGGUGACUUCUGGGCCUGCUGGAGGUGGAGGGUAGAGGAUGGACAGCUGACAUCUAGUCACAGAGGAAAGAACACAGAAAGAGAUCUCCAGUUAAAGCUGAUAGAUUGAACCACAGACAACCCACCUCCUUCUAAAAUCCCUCUAGAACAAUGGUUUAAAAAAAGUGCUUUAACAUAAAACUUCAAAAUCAAAAAGAUAAGGAAAAUGAUGAAAACCACUCAGAUAAGAAGAGAGGAUAUUUAUGCAGAGGCUGCUGUCGUUGGGAGUCCGCCACCAUACCACUAUACUUUGGUGAGACUUGAAGGCAGGCAGGGAGUGGAAACACUUUAUGCUGUAGUGAAAAAAGGGGAAGGCUUCGGUAUGCUCUGACUGGAGAUCAUUGUCAUGGGGAAACUGCAGGUGGGCUAACUAGAGGCUGGGCUUCUUGUGUAAUGGUUUGGCUUUCUCUGGUUGGUCCUGUGUUGAAAAUAGGGGCAAAAUAUAGGGAAGCUGACUCAUUGACCAAGCCCUGCCCAGGCUGGCCAAUUGCAGAGGUUGUGGGUCAGAGUUCUAUUGUCAUAUAUGGUCUGGCUACUGUCUGUUUAUAUAAUCCGUCUCUCAGAGAACAGUAGAGGAGAUCAAAUUAUUAACAUUUUGGAAGCUGGAAAGCAGGAGGAUAGUGUGAGCUGAAUUAGCAGACUUGCCAUCUAUCAAAGGGGAUAGCCAAAAGCAAGCCAGAUUUGCCCCAGAGAACCACCAAAGGUUCAAGAAUUGGCAGCACCAGGUACCCCCAGAAGCAGGGAUAAAGUGGGGGCUGAAAUUGGACAGUUGGUUCAAAGUCUAUUUCAGAAGCAUUAGACCACUGGAUUUCUUCCCCAGCUCCCAAAUGACUGCCUGGUGCAAAAGACUCAGGAUUGAUUCCCUGGAGAGGGUAGGUAGUUCUUUGUCUAGUUAAGGAUGGGAUGCCAUAACAAACAUGCCAAUUCAGUGAAAGUACCUACUUUCAAGACUCCUGCUUAACUCCCCUAAAUCAGCAGCCAAUGUUAGAAGCCAAGUGUUAAAGUUUUUCAGAUAAUUUUGCUAUAAGCCUAUGGAGAAAUUUCAUUACCAUCUCAUAGCAAGGCCUAUAGUAUAAGAGCAGGCCUAUAGUAGCAUAUGGGGGAAAGUCUAAAAGACUUUGAAAUGGACCAAAAGAUUAUUGAGAAAUGGAAAACUGCAUUGUUUUAAGUAUCCCUUUCCAACUUAUCAGAUUCUGUGGGGUUUAUACCUUUCAUUGUCUUUGAGGUAUUUAACAAUUCUAAAGAGAUAGACUCUAACUUGUAGAAAACUAAGAGUAACAUAAAUAAUUAUCGUCUUUAGAUAUACAAAUAAAUUCUGUUCUGAGAA
rnacentral:lncRNA from 1 species